AUGCUAAGAGAUGGUUGUGAGAAAAUCUAAUUUCCAUCGUAUAGUAGUGCGUUGUUUACUAACAGGCAACAGGUCUGUAUAUAUAAGGCGGGCCCCAGCGACUUAGUCAGACGAUAUUUAAACUCAAGCUAGACACAUCCAGCGAUCGCGUUAGUCGAAAAUAAUAAUGAUCUCUAAAACAGUAUACGCUUUUGCUGUGCUAAGCGUGUUAGUGCCGAUGUUGGCAGCUAAUCCUCUCCAGACGAGGUCUACUUUGCCAGUGGAACCAGUAAGCAUCAUCGCACUGGAAGAAGCCUGCGUCAGACAAGGUGGCAUAUGUGUUCGUAUUAAGGACUGCCUGCCCGGGAACAGGAUGCAAAUGAAAAGCUCGCUGUGCCCCUUGCAAAGGCAUCUCGGAGUCGAAUGCUGUUAUUUUGAUUAACGUCGAUGGAUAAACGUGAAAGUCCGCCUUAAUGAAAUAAAAACUAUUUAAGAAAUUUAACUUAAUUUAAUUUUAAGAAUUAGACUAUAUUGAAAAAAUAUUUAUUUAUAAAUAAAACACUGAAUACUUAAGUUUUAUAAAAUGUUACGUUUCCUAUUUCUAAACGUUUUAUAUAAAAAAAAAUGAUAUAUAUAUAUAUAUAUGUAUAUUAUUAGACAAAUCAGUACUUAAUUUGCAGUCUUUCUUAGUUACCUCAUACUAUAAUUCAUGUACAUAUGUAUUUAGAAUAUGUUUAUUUAAUUUUACAAUACAAAAUUAAACUAGCAAUAUCAAUAGCAUUACCUGCAUAUCAGUGUAGCUAUUGAUAUAAUAUUUCUUAAAAAUAAAAUAUAUUAAAAACGUUUGGAACGGGAAAAACACAAGGAGCAAAUGUUUGACACACACACAACAAACCACACUAAAACACACUUAUAAUAAGUACAUAGUUAAAAAAAAUUAUACUUAAUUAAGAUAUAAAUAGAAUUAAAUUCUUCAAUUAAAUAUAAUUAUAUCUUGUAGAUUUAUUAUAAGUUGUCGCCUACGAGCUUUCAGAAGUCUUCCGAAGCGAAGCGCAGAGCAAUUUCAGUAUUGUUAUUAAUCAAAAGCGAUGCACGCAUUGCAAUGAUAUCUUCGAUUGAAUCCAAACGACUAGAGAAUAUCAAAGUGAAUUAAAGCGCAAUGUUAUUGUGCGAAUAAUUCGAACAGUGUCGUAUGCUUUUUCGUGCUCGAUCUAUGCACGCAGAAGUACCAUGUCUGCGUUCUGUGGAAAACCGUUGCGCUGCGCUUUGCCAGUUUACCACACCAUACAUUUCACACUGAAUUAUAUCAUAUCAUUCUUGUCUUAUGUUCAAAAAUUUACAUAUAUGUUGUCUAUUUUGUAAGCAAUAAAUAAAUCAUUCAAAUUAUUAA